rnacentral:rRNA from 2 species
AACGCGAAGAACCUUACCUGGUCUUGACAUCCACGGAAUUCGGCAGAGAUGCCUUAGUGCCUUCGGGAACCGUGAGACAGGUGCUGCAUGGCUGUCGUCAGCUCGUGUUGUGAAAUGUUGGGUUAAGUCCCGCAACGAGCGCAACCCUUAUCCUUUGUUGCCAGCGGUCCGGCCGGGAACUCAAAGGAGACUGCCAGUGAUAAACUGGAGGAAGGUGGGGAUGACGUCAAGUCAUCAUGGCCCUUAUGAGUAGGGCUACACACGUGCUACAAUGGCGCAUACAAAGAGAAGCAAACUCGCGAGAGCAAGCGGACCUCAUAAAGUGCGUCGUAGUCCGGAUUGGAGUCUGCAACUCGGCUCCAUGAAGUCGGAAUCGCUAGUAAUCGUAGAUCAGAAUGCUACGGUGAAUACGUUCCCGGGUCUUGUACACACCG